AAUAUUUGACAAUGGGGGCAACCCUGAUCCAGCCAUGCCGCGUGUGUGAAGAAGGUCUUCGGAUUGUAAAGCACUUUAAGUUGGGAGGAAGGGCUUUAGGCUAAUACCCUGAAGUUUUGACGUUACCAACCGAAUAAGCACCGGCUAACUCUGUGCCAGCAGCCGCUGUCAUACAGAGUGUGCAAGCGUUGAUCGGAAAUACUGGGCGUAAAGCGCGCGUAGGUGGUUCAGUAAGAUGGGUGUGAAAACCCCGGGCUUAACAUGGGAACAGCUGUCAUAACUGCUGAGCUAGAGUACGGUGGAGGGUAGUGGAAUUUCCUGUGUAGCGGUGAAAUGCGUAGAUAUAGGAAGGAACACCAGUGGCGAAGGCGACUACCUGGACUGAUACUGACACUGAGAUGCGAAAGCGUGGGGAGCAAACA
rnacentral:rRNA from 1 species